rnacentral:lncRNA from 1 species
GAAUAUUCUGUCUUUUUUUCUUCCAUUGUUGUCUGCAUUUUUGUGGUGAUUGAAGAACAGUGGCGGUCCCCAAAGAUUAAAAUAAGAAAGAAGAAAAAGAGAAAGGGCAGGCGUCUUUUAACUCUGAUCAUCAUAAAUCACACGAUUUCUCUGCAAUUGCUGCUGCUGCUUCUUCAUAUUAUAUUAUCCAUAGAAUUACCCAGCUGUCGACACAUGAAGCAUUCAUCGCCAUUAAUUCAGUCGCAUACGUGUCAAAUCCUGCAAAAUUAUUAAACUUAUUUUGUCACUAAUAGUUUUUUUCUUUUUUUCUUUUUAUUUUACCUCUGGAAAGGAAAAU